rnacentral:tRNA from 1 species
AAAGUGGUGCGGCAAUUGACGCGGUGGACUGCUAAUCCAUUGGGGUCUCCCCGCGUGAGUUCGAAUCUCACCUGCGUCG